rnacentral:rRNA from 1 species
GACGAACGCUGGCGGCGUGCCUAAUACAUGCAAGUCGAACGCACUCUCGUUUAGAUUGACGGAGUUUGCUCCUGAUUGAUAGACAUUUGAGUGAGUGGCGGACGGGUGAGUAACACGUGGGUAACCUGCCCUAAAGUGGGGGAUAACAUUUGGAAACAGAUGCUAAUACCGCAUAAAACCUAACACCGCAUGGUGUAGGGUUGAAAGAUGGUUUCGGCUAUCACUUUAGGAUGGACCCGCGGUGCAUUAGUUAGUUGGUGAGGUAAAGGCUCACCAAGACCGUGAUGCAUAGCCGACCUGAGAGGGUAAUCGGCCACACUGGGACUGAGACACGGCCCAGACUCCUACGGGAGGCAGCAGUAGGGAAUCUUCCACAAUGGACGAAAGUCUGAUGGAGCAACGCCGCGUGAGUGAAGAAGGUUUUCGGAUCGUAAAACUCUGUUGUUGGAGAAGAAUGUAUCUGAUAGUAACUGAUCAGGUAGUGACGGUAUCCAACCAGAAAGCCACGGCUAACUACGUG